rnacentral:rRNA from 1 species
UACGGGGGGUGCGAGCGUUGUCCGGAAUCACUGGGCGUAAAGGGCGCGUAGGUGGUUUGAUAAGGGUGUGGUGAAAGUCCGGGGCUCAACCCCCGGAUCUGCCGUGCCGACUGUCAAACUCGAGGACUGUAGAGGCAGACGGAAUUCCGGGUGUAGCGGUGGAAUGCGUAGAUAUCUGGAGGAACACCGGUGGCGAAGGCGGCAUCCUGGACCAACACUGACACUGAGGAGCGAAAGCCAGGGAGCAAACGGG